GACGUAGGGGGCAAGCGUUGUCCGGAAUUAUUGGGCGUAAAGCGCUCGUAGGCGGAUCGGUAAGUCUGUGAAGAAAGACCCGGGCUCAACUCGGGGAACGGCAUAGAUACUGCUGAUCUUGAGACAGUCAGAGGAUGAUGGAAUUCCAGGUGUAGCGGUGAAAAUGCGUAGAUAUCUGGAGGAACACCAGUGGCGAAGGCGAUCAUCUGGGGCUGUUCUGACGCUGAGGAGCGAAAGCUAGGGGAGCAAACGGGG
rnacentral:rRNA from 1 species